rnacentral:lncRNA from 1 species
AUGUCAAGAGAUGGAAGUCAAAAGACUGUCAGUAGUGGAAACAUUCCCCAAGUAGAUGGUGCACAUGACUGUCUGGAUGUAGUCUCCCCUUCUGAGAAAGUUUUGGUGAAGAAGCACCAACAAGAUGUGUUGAAGGAAUGCAAGGAUGCUUUCAAUCGUUAUGUAUUCUCUUCAGAAAAUAAUUACAACUCAGUUUGCUCACCUUUUCACACCUCAGGUAGCAGUAGUAAACUUGGCUGUCUCUCUAGCAACAAAAAACGAAUGCCAAAAAGAAGCAAACCAAAGCGAAGACGAAACAAAUCACUGCCCCGUAAAAUACUACAGAAUCUCUCUUCUGAAAGCGAAGAUUGUGGGAAUGAUGACUUGACCAGUAUUUGCUCAUCAAGUACUACUGAGUUGCAAAGUCAUAACCAUGUAACUCAUGUGAUACCCAGGAGUGUAAUUAUGGAUAUCAUCGGAGCCUCUGAACCAACAGCUUCAAUAUCUAAAAAUCCUGAAAGCUCUGAAGAUUGUGCUGUUGUUUUAGAACCCUUUGAAAGUUUAUUGGACGUGAAUGAUGACAGAAACGAUGGAUGGUUCUUUGAAAGUUUUGAAGACUUCUAUAAAAGUCAAGGAGGAAAUGAUUGCUCCAGAGUUGCAUCAAGUCCACAAAAGAAAUAUCCCCAUUGGCCUAAAAAUGAAAGGAAUUGUGAUCAUGCUGAAGCUUUUAACCAGGCAAAUGCUGCCUUACAAUGUUUUGUCAACUUGUCUCUUAACAAUUUAUGUCAAAAAAAUAGUGCAGGACUUCAAACCAUACAAAGUAGAAAGGAAUUAAAACCAGUCUCAGAAAUUUUCACUCCCAUUAAUUUCUCAAGGGAUGUUGUGAAGGAUAGCUUUUCCGCAACUUUGUCUCCAUCAUGUGAGGCUCCUAACUUAGAAACCGAAAACUUCCCACAGAUCAUACCUAACAAUGAAGUCAAGGUAAUUGUCACUGCAGAUGUUCACUGUGUGGGGAGCAAGCCAGCUCUUACUUCUUCAAGAGGAAAGGGGACAAAUGUGCCUAGCAGACUUAAAAAAUUCCAAGCAGAAUUUCUAGGAGCUUUAUCAUCUACCAGUAAAGAUGCCGAGCUAUAUGAAAUAACCGCAGCACCAUUAGAACCUUAUAAGUCUCCCGCCUGUAAAACAGUCAUCCCACUGAUGAGAAAAAAACCAAGAAAGCGCAAAAAUGUUUUCAGGGAAAAGAAAAAGAAGAAGAAGAUUCCGCUGAAUAGAGGAAACUUAGUAUCCAAGAAAUGUUUUGAUGUAGCCCUGCCACAUUCUCUAAUUGAAAAGACGCCAUGGGUGAGGGACCCAAAUUCAAGAUCUUGCGAAAAAAUGCUUCACGAAGUUUCCUUAUGCACUGAAGAAAAAGAGUCAUUUAGUCCUACAGCUCUAGAAGAAUCAUUAAACUCAAACAAGGGGCUAAGAUCAUCUUCUAUGUAUGAGAAAUCUGGAACUUCCGUCCCUACUGCUUUGAAUAUCUUACCACCAGAAGGAGAUGAGACUUCUUUGAAGGAUGCCUCUGGAAAUUCUCUCUCUAAAACCUCAGAUUUCCUAUUACAGGAAAAAAACACUGGUGACAAAACCACUGUCAAUUUUAUCUCUCUAGAAGGAGAGAAUGCUCAGUCAGAGCAAUUUAAACCACUCACUCAAAACCCUUCCUCAACAGUAGAGAAUGAAAUGCAACAACCAUUUGCUGAGGCUCAGGUAGAAAAAUACGGUCUAAGAAAGUGUAGUGUCAGACUUGAAAGAUUACCAAGUCGACUCUCAGCGGAAAACUCUAAGUGCAAUUCAGAAGUUUGUUUGUCCGAACAGGAGUUCUUUUCAAAAACUCUGUGUCCAUUGAAAACAUCGGACUUCAAAUCUGUUAACCUACCAGAAAGUAUCUCGAAUGCCCGGAUGUUGGUGUCUCAAAAAGUGAUGGAGCGUUCUCUGAAUGUCGAAUUAAAAACUUCUCAAACUGAAAAUACAGCUGAAGAAAAGGGUAAAAUAGAAAGUUCUAAUCACAGCAAAGAUUGGAAUAAUGAGGAGUCCAGCACAAAAGCUAUCUCUAACCCAAAUAUUAGCCCCCUGACUUUUUCGCCUGACCUUAAUGAAAGCAACAUCAUACCAAAGAUAUUGAUAAACAACAGAACAGAGUUGCAAAGUGUUCAACACCCAUCUCCUAUGGAAGCAUCUGAAUUUGAAAUUUCUUUCUCCAAUAUUAGUGUUGAUGGAGGUCUCAAUCUGGUAAAUUCAAAUGAAAGUGACCAAUCUCAUGCCCUCUCAAAUUUUACAACAACUACACAAUUGUCACUGACAGAGGAAAAUUUUAGCAUCUUUAAAAACACUCAAGUUUCAGAAUCUGGUGCAGUUAAUUCUGUGCCUUGCUCCAAACCUGGAAGGAUGAAGGCAAGAUUAGAGGAAUCAACUCUUCUAGAUCAAGGACCUAUUAAAAAACAAGUUUCGGAACUUUCGUUAUGCAAGAUACCUACCGCAAAGCUUAGUCCUCACUCCCUAAGUCAGCAAUUUUCUCCCUGUACUGUACAAAAAUUAGACUGCUCAAAUAUCUGGUACAAAAUAAAAGAACGAGAGAAGAAACUUAUUGCUACAAACGGUACAAAAAAAAUCAGUCAUAUCUCAGAUCUGAAACCAAUGCACUUGGUGGUGUCGCCUUAA